rnacentral:rRNA from 1 species
AGAGUUUGAUCCUGGCUCAGAGUGAACGCUGGCGGCAUGCCUAACACAUGCAAGUCGAACGGUAACGGGCCCGCAAGGGUGCCGACGAGUGGCGGACGGGUGAGGAACACAUCGGAAUCUGCCCGGUUGUGGGGGAUAACGUAGGGAAACUUACGCUAAUACCGCAUACGACCGAGAGGUGAAAGCGGGGGAUCGCAAGA